CUACGGGUGGCUCCAGUGGGGAAUAUUGGACAAUGGGGGAAACCCUGAUCCAGCAAUGCCGCGUGUGUGAAGAAGGCCUGCGGGUUGUAAAGCACUUUCGGUUGGGAGGACUGCUUCUAGCACUAAUAUUGUUGGAAGUUGACGUUACCUUCAGAAGAAGCACCGGGUAACUCCGUGCCGGCAGCCGCGGUAAUACGGGGGGUGCAAGCGUUAAUCGGAAUUACUGGGCGUAAAGCGCGCGUAGGCGGUUAGAUCAGUCGGGUGUGAAAGCCCCGGGCUUAACCUGGGAACUGCAUCCGAUACUGUCUAGCUUGAGUACAGGAGAGGAGAGUGGAAUUCCACAUGUAGCGGUGAAAUGCGUAGAUAUGUGGAGGAACACCAAUGGCGAAGGCAGCUCUCUGGCCUGAUACUGACGCUGAGGUGCGAAAGCGUGGGGAGCAAACAGGAUUAGAUACCCUUGUAGUC
rnacentral:rRNA from 1 species